UAAAUGACUCUCGGCAACGGAUAUCUCGGCUCACGCAUCGAUGAAGAACGUAGCAAAAUGCGAUACUUGGUGUGAAUUGCAGAAUCCCGUGAACCAUCGAGUUUUUGAACGCAAGUUGCGCCCGAAGCCUUCUGGUUGAGGGCACGUCUGCCUGGGCGUCACGCAUCACGUCGCCCCCACCAUCCAUCCCUGACCGGAUGUGUUGAUGUGGGCGGAGAUUGGUCUCCCGUGUCCAGUUUGCGGUUGGCUUAAAUACGAGUCUUGUCUAGAUGGACGCACGACUAGUGGUGGUUGAUUACACAGUCGUCUCGUGUCGUGCCUUCCUAUUCUUGAAGCAGAAGACUCUUAAAAUACCCCGACGUGUUGUCUUUUG
rnacentral:rRNA from 1 species